CCCUUAGAUGUUCUGGGCCGCACGCGCGCUACACUGACGAAUGCAACGAGCUUAUAACCUUGGCCGAAAGGUCUGGGUAAUCUCCAAAUUUCGUCGUGAUGGGGAUAGAUUAUUGCAAUUAUUAAUCUUCAACGAGGAAUGCCUAGUAAGCGUAAGUCAUCAGCUUGCGUUGAUUACGUCCCUGCCCUUUGUACACACCGCCCGUCGCUCCUACCGAUUGAAUGGUCCGGUGAAGCGUUCGGACCGUGGCCUUUGGACGGUUCGCCGUCUGUUGGCUGCGGGAAGUUCGUUAAACCUUAUCAUUUAGAGGAAGGAGAANUCGUAACA
rnacentral:rRNA from 1 species